rnacentral:rRNA from 1 species
UACGUAGGGGCGCAAGCGUUAUCCGGAAUUAUUGGGCGUAAAGAGCUCGUAGGCGGUUUGUCGCGUCUGCUGUGAAAACUCGGGCUUAACCCCGGGCUGCAGUGGGUACGGGCAGACUAGAGUGCGGUAGGGGAGACUGGAAUUCCUGGUGUAGCGGUGAAAUGCGCAGAUAUCAGGAGGAACACCGGUGGCGAAGGCGGGUCUCUGGGCCGUAACUGACGCUGAGGAGCGAAAGCGUGGGGAGCGAACAGG